rnacentral:rRNA from 1 species
UGAGGAAUAUUGGACAAUGGCCGGAAGGCUGAUCCAGCCAUGCCGCGUGAAGGAAUAAGGUCCUAUGGAUUGUAAACUUCUUUUGUACGAGAGCAAUAAGUGUCACGUGUGACACGAUGAGAGUAUCGUACGAAUAAGCAUCGGCUAACUCCGUGCCAGCAGCCGCGGUAAUACGGAGGAUGCGAGCGUUAUCCGGAUUUAUUGGGUUUAAAGGGUGCGUAGGCUGUGUAUCAAGUCAGUGGUGAAAGACCGGGGCCCAACCUCGGAAGUGCCAUUGAUACUGAUAUGCUGGAGUACCCCUGCCGUGGGAGGAAUGAGUGGUGUAGCGGUGAAAUGCAUAGAUAUCACUCAGAACACCGAUUGCGAAGGCAUCUCACGAAAGGGCAACUGACGCUGAGGCACGAAAGCGUGGGGAUCAAACAGGAUUAGAUACCCUGGUA